CGAAUGAGGAGAUUCAUCGUCAGCUUAUUCAGUAUUAAUGCAGGCUAUGAUGUGAUAAUAGAACCCUUGUGGUCACUAGAUUAUACUUGCUUGUAUUAUUUUUGCUGGGUAUGUCGGCGUGCACUUCUCCUCUAGUAGAACGUCGCAACCCGUUGGAUGUUUAUCUAUGGCUUGAAUGGUAGCCUUUGAUAUUUUUUAUAUUAAAGACCUUCGAUGUCCUGAUAAACUGUUUGACGGUAUACAUAUGGUAUUGAGCCGCAAUUAUUUGCGUUAGACUUGCCGCAAGUAUGACUUUAUUCUAGUAGUGCGGAUCUAACGCCGUCGCUGGACAA
rnacentral:rRNA from 1 species